UACGGAGGGUGCGAGCGUUGUUCGGAAUCACUGGGCGUAAAGCGCGUGUAGGCGGUCUCCUAAGUCUGGUGUGAAAGCCCGGGGCUUACCCCCGGAAGUGCACUGGAAACUGGGAGACUGGAGUACCGGAGAGGAAGGUGGAAUUCCUGGUGUAGCGGUGAAAUGCGUAGAUAUCAGGAGGAACACCGGUGGCGAAGGCGGCCUUCUGGACGGAUACUGACGCUGAGACGCGAAAGCGUGGGGAGCAAACAGG
rnacentral:rRNA from 1 species